CCGAGUAUGUCACGUCCACACUCAGCACACCUGUGUUUGCACCAGAUGGAUCAUGGAAACGCAGCCCAUAAUGUCACGUGUUGCUAUGGAAACCCAGAUGGACACCUGCUUCCUGAAUCCAGACGGCGGGAAGAGCUGAAGGAAGUCUGAGAGGAAUGGAGCGCGUCAGAAACACAGAUUAUCUCCUCAGAUACAGUCAGAUAUUCGGGAAUCUCCAUGACAACCGGUUUCCGAGUUUGCCGAUGGAUAGCGGAUCCAUGGAAACCGUCUGGAGAAACAGAGACAGAUAAGAGUGAAGCUGCUGUAAAGAGCCUGUCAUUGAGACAAAAUCUCCAGCUUGACCGUCACUGUAGAUGGACUGCUAAUUUUUAUACGUUUAUCUGCUGAAUUUCCAUCUCACCUCAUCAGCAUGAGAAGAUCGACACAACUGCCCUGAUGCUUCAGCGUGAGCAGAAACACAAGGCCAGAAUGUUGUUCUUUAUGUUUAAAUAUGGCAGCUAUAAUUAGCCGGGAAAUUAUUUUCCCCAAUGUAAUGGAGCUGAACUUGUCUUUAAUUACGCUUGAGUGAAAUCAUCAUCAACUGCUUGGAGGAAAAAUAAAAAGAGAGAUGAAAAGGAGAACAGAAUGAAAGACAGACGGAUGGAGAAGUAAAAGUUCAGACGAAGAUCGAUCCAAGGUCAUUGGUUCCAAUCCCAGGGAAUGCUGAACC